CGUACAGGGGCAGAAGGCAAGGUGAAACCCUAGUUUCACCAACUUCAUCGAAUUCAGUAGGAAUCUCAAUGAAAAUCGGAUGCAUGAACCUCAAUUUGCAAACAUCUAACCUUGUUCAGUAAAGUGCAGGUAUGACAUAGAUGGGAAACAACGGGUCACAAGGAUAGCAUGGAAGACAACACCUCUAUGGAAAAAGGUUAUGUAUGUCGGACUUUCGAAGUGUUGAUAUAGAAAUAAAACGAUUGAAUGAUGGAAGGUUAAUUGGGUGGAAGUAACUUAUGCGGUUAGAAUACGCUAUGGACGUUUUAGUUUAUACAAUAUUUUAUGCUUGGUCGUCAUCAUCUACCAACGGGUGAGUCGCAUGAAAAUAUAUGUCAUACCCAUUUAAUUGGGUAAUCGAAUGCGUAAGAAAAAUGAAAGUACAUACUCGAAUAGAAUUAAAAUAAUGGUUUUAUAAGCAGAUAAGUAUAUUGACUAUCUUUUUAAAGCUUUGUUGUUGAAUGUAGGUAAAUUCUCAAUUUAGGCGACUUGGAGAAUCGGAGCGAGCGCUGUUCAUGUUAUGUCAUACCAAACGCUUCCGCUAGCUUGUUCAAAUGUUUUUGGUCCAAAAAUUUUUGUAAUGGUUUUUAGUAGUAUUUUGUUGAACGAAUUGUAGAAUUGUAUCUAGUUUGAUUAUGAUUAAAACAGGGGUAUGCCCGUUUUACGGACGGGUCAUGCCCAAAUUUUGUUAAAA